UCCUCUGCAAAAGCAACAAAUGCUCCUCAGUGCUGAGCCAUCUCUCUCUGUUGUUUGUUUCUUGAGAACUCAGGCUAGCCUCACACUCACCUUAUAGCUGAGGGUGAUCUUGAACUUCUGACCCUCCUGCUUCUACCUCUUAGGUGAUGACAUCACAAUAACUAUUACUGUGCCUACAUGGUGCAGUGCUGGCGACCAAACCCAGGGCUUCUUGUAUGUGACAUAAGCUCUCAACUGAAUUACAUCCCUACAUACUCCUGACUCACUGUGGCUUAUGUGUACCUCAGACUCACAAUCCUCCUGCCUCAACCCCCCAAGUGCUAGGAUUACUGCGUUCAGCACACCUAACUUGUAUUUGUAUCCUUUUUAAGAUUUAUUUUAUUUUCAUGUAUGUGAGUACACUGUAGUUGUCUUCAGACACACCUGAAGAGGGCAUCGGAUUCCAUUACAAAUGGUUGUGAGCCACCAUGUGGUUGCUGGGAAUUGAACUCAGGACCUCUGGAAGAGCAGCCAGCGCUCUUAACCUCUGAGCCGUCUCUCCAGCCGCCCUUGUGUUUGUAUUUUUGUAUUUUCUUUCUGGCUGCUGCCUCCCUUUUUCUGUGCCCUUUCCCCUUUGCCCUUCCCACCCUCAGUCUCAACAUUCCCUCUUCUUCCCCCUCGUCUUUCUUACCGUUUCUUCUUUCUUUUCUUCCUGUGUCUCCCUAAGUCUGAACAAAGUUCUCUCUCACAUCCCAAACCUGCUCCUACCUCCUUUCUACCCCAGUUCCCAAUACCCCCUCCUCAACUGUACCCUGUGGUGUUUUGAGCAGGAAAGUCCUUCAUAGGCUCUGGUAUUUGAACACUUUGUCCCCAGUUGGUGGCGCUGUUGGGUAUGUUUAGGAGACCGAGACGUUGGUGGAGGCAGUGUCCCUGGGGGUGGGCUUUGCUUAUGACUUUGCCCUCCUCCUACUUUGCUCCGUCUGCCUUGUGGUUUUGGUUGAGGCAAUGAGCUCUCACACAAGAGCUGCCCGGGAUCAAGAUAGUAGACACUCCAGCAUGAAUAGAGAGACUUAUAAGAUCUCACCCCAUCUGAGGAGCUAUCGAAGGCUGCUGGUGAAGGGAGAGACGCCCCCCCUCUGGGGGUGUGGCCAAUGUGACCUGCAGGUCAUCCUCGGAGCCCACCCACCCCAUCUCAUCCUCUUGGGGCCUUCUCAGGUUCGAUGCAGGCUCUUGGUACAUCCAGGGCAAGGGCGACGGAAGGAUGGAGGACUUCAGACAAAGGAUGAGGGAUCGGUAUGGCUGAAGAGGAGAGAGCGGAGCCGCAAGUCAGACAGCUGAGCCGUGACUACUACUUCAGGACGUCAUUUGAGGGAAACCCUUACGGGGUUGGGGAUUUAACUCAGUGGUAGAGUGCUUGUCUAGCAAGCGCAAGGCCCUGGGUUUGGUCCCCAGCUCCGAAAAAAGAAAAAGAAGGAAAAAAAGAAAAAAAAACAAAACCCUUGCAUUGUUCAUAUUUUAACAAAUAUGUAAAGUUUACGACAUUACAGUGUACAGAUCUUGAGUAUUGAUAAAUUUUAAUGGCUUUUAAAUAUUGAAUUUAUUUAUUUUUAUUCUCCCAGCAAUCCACAGUUGCUCAUAACCAUCUGUAACUCCAGUCCCAGGGACUUUGAUGUUCUCUCCAAGCAACACAGGCAUGUAGUACCCUCACAUACACCUAAGGCGUCCAUACAUGUAGAAUAAAAAUAAUUAAAAAUAAAUCCAAUGUUUAAAGCCAAACCUGGGUCCUCCAAAAGAGCAGGAAGCAUUCCUAACCACAGAUCCAUCUCUUUUGCCCAAUUUUGACAAUUUUUUAGCUGUGUCAGGAAGAGUACAGCCAUCAUAUAAAACAUCUGUGGUCACAAGGGAACUCCCUUCUCUAGAAAUUCCCAUUCUGAGGAAACCCCAGGCACCGUAAAUCAGUUUUACCUAUGUUCUCUGUUUGCUUUUCUGUGUAUUUGUCCAUUUAUUUUUGAGACAGAGCCUCUCUUUGCAGCACUGGCUGUCCUGGAACUCAGAGAUCCACCUGUCUCUGCCUCUGGAGAGCUGGGAUUAAAGGUGU